GCCCCGGUGGCUUAGCCCGGUUAAAGCGCCCGCCUUGUAAACGCGGCCCGCGGCCGACGCGGGAGAUCCCGGGUUCGAAUCCCGGCCGGGGCU
rnacentral:tRNA from 1 species